GACGAACGCUGGCGGCGUGCCUAAUACAUGCAAGUAGAACGCAGUUGCGAACGGGUGAGUAACGCGUAGGUAACUGCCUCAUAGCGGGGGCUAACUCUUGGAAACGAUAGCUAAUACCCCAUACUGUGAGAUGGACCUGCGUUGUAUUAGCUAGUUGGUGAGGUCAAGGCUCACCAAGGCGACGAUACAUAGCCGACCUGAGAGGGUGCUCGGGCACACUGGGACUGCGACAAGGGCCAGACUCCUUAGGGAGGCAACAGUAGGGAAUCUUCGGCAAUGGGCGGAAGUCCGGCCGAGCAACGCCGCGUGAGUUAAGAAGGUUUUCGGAUCGGAAAGCUCUGUUGUUAGAGAAGCGGUAGCUAACCAGAAAGGGCCGGCUAACUCCGUGCCAGCAGCCGCGGUAAUUC
rnacentral:rRNA from 1 species